UGAGGAAUAUUGGUCAAUGGGCGGAAGCCUGAACCAGCCAAGUCGCGUGAGGGAAGACGGCCCUACGGGUUGUAAACCUCUUUUGCCGGGGAGCAAUGCCCAGCUCGCGAGCUGGGAAGGAGAGUACCCGGAGAAAAAUGCAUCGGCUAACUCCGUGCCAGCAGCCGCGGUAAUACGGAGGAUGCGAGCGUUAUCCGGAUUUAUUGGGUUUAAAGGGUGCGUAGGCGGUCUGUUAAGUCAGCGGUCAAAUGUCGGCGCUCAACGCCGGCCUGCCGUUGAAACUGGCGGACUUGAGUGGGCCGAGAAGUAUGCGGAAUGCGUGGUGUAGCGGUGAAAUGCAUAGAUAUCACGCAGAACCCCAGAUUGCGAAGGCAGCAUACCGGCGCCCAACUGACGCUGAGGCACGAAAGCGUGGGUAUCGAACAGGAUUAGAUACC
rnacentral:rRNA from 1 species